rnacentral:rRNA from 1 species
UGGGGAAUAUUGCACAAUGGGCGCAAGCCUGAUGCAGCCAUGCCGCGUGUAUGAAGAAGGCCUUCGGGUUGUAAAGUACUUUCAGCGGGGAGGAAGGGAGUAAAGUUAAUACCUUUGCUCAUUGACGUUACCCGCAGAAGAAGCACCGGCUAACUCCGUGCCAGCAGCCGCGGUAAUACGGAGGGUGCAAGCGUUAAUCGGAAUUACUGGGCGUAAAGCGCACGCAGGCGGUCUGUCAAAUCGGAUGGGAAAUCCCCGGGCUCAACCUGGGAACUGCAUUCGGAACUGGCAGGCUCGGGUCUUGUAGAGGGGGGUAGAAAUCCAGGUGGAGCGGUGAAAGGCGUAGAGAUCUGGGGGAAUACCGGGGGCGGAGGCGGCCCCCUGGACAAAGACUGACGCUCAGGUGCGAAAGCGUGGGGAGCAAACAGG